rnacentral:rRNA from 1 species
GACGAACCACACAAACGUUAUUCGGAAUUACUGGGCUUAAAGGGUGCGUAGGCGGCGCGGAAAGUUGGGUGUGAAAUCCCUCGGCUCAACCGAGGAACUGCGCUCAAUACUACCGUGCUCGAGGGAGACAGAGGUGAGCGGAACUUAGGGUGGAGCGGUGAAAUGCGUUGAUAUUCACAGGAACUCCGGUGGCGAAGGCGAGGUGCUGGACCCCUUCUGACGCUGAGGCGCGAAAGCCAGGGGAGCGAACGGG